ensembl:lncRNA
CGAUAACUGAAGACCCCCUGCUCCCCAAAACGUCCACCCGCAGGAGGUUCGCAGGCGCAGAAGGACAUCCUCACCCGCCAGAAGGGACAGACGGUAUGGAUGGUACAAGCGGACUCCUCCAUUUUUCUAGAACAUUUUCCCCUUUCCAGAACCUGAUUUUAGAAAGAGGCUACCCACCAACAUGAAGCUUCAUAUCCGGGUCUUGCUAGUGAGAAUUAAAGCCCUAAAAUUGGGAGUUUCCUGGUGGUUCAGUGGUUAAGACUCCUCCUUCCAGUGCAGGUGUGGGAGGAGUUCAAUUCCUGGUCAGGGAGCUAAGAUCCUACAUGCCUCUCGGCCAAAAAACCAAAAAUACAAAAAAGAAAACCAGAAGCGAAUUGUAACAAACUCAAUAAAGACUUAAAAAA